AUUAAAACGUUGACGAGAAGAAGUACGUGCAGCAAGCUCUCUAGAGAAGAUCCUCACCGGCUGAAAGGGAUCUGUGCCACUGCUGCAUCGAAAUGCCUCUCCGAGUGCUGAGUCGAAAACAAGUAGACCAGACGUUUUGCCUGCGUUAGAGGCUUUCGAGAGAAAAGGGCGUGUUGUCCUUUUAAUCAGAGUGGAACCGCGCAACUAUGCGUCUCUGUC
rnacentral:ncRNA from 1 species